rnacentral:rRNA from 1 species
AUUGAACGCUGGCGGCAUGCCUUACACAUGCAAGUCGAACGGUAACAGGUCUUCGGAUGCUGACGAGUGGCGAACGGGUGAGUAAUACAUCGGAACGUGCCUAGUAGUGGGGGAUAACUACUCGGAAGAGUGGCUAAUACCGCAUGAGAUCUACGGAUGAAAGCAGGGGAUCGCAAGACCUUGUGCUACUAGAGCGGCCGAUGGCAGAUUAGGUAGUUGGUGGGAUAAAAGCUUACCAAGCCGACGAUCGGUGGCUGGUCUGAGAGGACGAUCAGCCACACUGGGACUGAGACACGGCCCAGACUCCUACGGGAGGCAGCAGUGGGGAAUUUUGGACAAUGGGCGCAAGCCUGAUCCAGCAAUGCCGCGUGCAGGAUGAAGGCCUUCGGGUUGUAAACUGCUUUUGUACGGAACGAAAAGCCCUGGGUUAAUACCCUGGGGUCAUGACGGUACCGUAAGAAUAAGCACCGGCUAACUACGUGCCAGCCGCCGCGGUAAUAC